CACGGGGGGAGCAAGCGUUGUCCGGAUUUACUGGGCGUAAAGAGCGUGUAGGCGGGAUGAUAAGUCAGUGGUGAAAUCUCUCGGCUCAACCGAGAAUCUGCUAUUGAUACUGUCAUUCUUGAGUACGGAAGAGGGAAGUGGAAUUCCUGGUGUAGCGGUGAAAUGCGUAGAUAUCAGGAAGAACACCAGUAGCGAAGGCGGCUUCCUGGUCCGUAACUGACGCUGAGACGCGAAAGCGUGGGGAGCAAACAGGAUUAGAUACCCCCGUA
rnacentral:rRNA from 1 species